rnacentral:rRNA from 1 species
GUGAACGCUGGCGGUAGGCCUAACACCUGCAAGUCGCACGGCAGCACAGUAAGAGCUUGCUCUUACGGGUGGCGAGUGGCGGACGGGUGAGGAAUACAUCGGAAUCUACUUUUUCGUGGGGGAUAACGUAGGGAAACUUACGCUAAUACCGCAUACGACCUACGGGUGAAAGCAGGGGAUCUUCGGACCUUGCGCGAUUGAAUGAGCCGAUGUCGGAUUAGCUAGUUGGCGGGGUAAAGGCCCACCAAGGCGACGAUCCGUAGCUGGUCUGAGAGGAUGAUCAGCCACACUGGAACUGAGACACGGUCCAGACUCCUACGGGAGGCAGCAGUGGGGAAUAUUGGACAAUGGGCGCAAGCCUGAUCCAGCCAUACCGCGUGGGUGAAGAAGGCCUUCGGGUUGUAAAGCCCUUUUGUUGGGAAAGAAAAGCAGCAGGUUAAUACCCCGCUGUUCUGUCGGUACCCAAAGAAUAAGCACCGGCUAACUUCGUG